rnacentral:lncRNA from 7 species
AAGAACUUGGUUUGGAUGCACCUGGGUCAGUUCAGCUCCUAGAACGCUCUCCCAGAUAAACGGCAGGCUGGGGAGCUGUAGGCCUUGCUUGUAGGAUUGCUAUAUCAAUUCUCCAACCUGAGACUGUGAGGUCUCCUCAGCUCAGAGUAACCAGAUACAAGUUGGCUCCCCGUCUGUGUUCAGCUUGGUACCUUGGAAGUCCAAGUGAAGGCUGACCAUUUAGACACAGCAGCCGUCUCACCCCCCACACAGCAGUAACUUAACACAUCUUUGAUGAACCGGCUGGCCUCUGUCUCAUCCAUGGGCUGAUGGAAGUGCUGAGGGCAGCAGUAGGCAAGGGAUGUUUGGCUACAGGGACCUGGGGAAAAAAGCUUCUCCCGUAGCCAUCUCCAUCAGCCCACAGCAGAGGGAGAGAAGGAGAUCUUUCCCAAGCCAGUCACCUCUCCACGCUCCCCAAAAUGAUGGUGACCCUGUCUGAGGGAAGCUGAUGAAGCCCUACAGGAGGGAGAUCUGAGUCAUGAGAGCCUUCUCAUGGAAAUUUACUUCCUGGCCUCCUUUCUGCUGCACACUGAGAACAGAAGAUGAACUAGGACGUGGUAGAGGGAAGCUGCAAUGGAAGCUUGAAAAGGAAAAGCUUUCUGAAUCCAGCAGCUGGGAAUGGAGGAAUCCUGGAACUUUAUGCUGCAGAAGCUUGGAGACAACAAUAAAGGUUCCCUCCCCCCACCCCCAUCCAAAGAGCAAGUAUAUAUAUAAAGUAGUUAUCUCUUCAAACAAACAUAUGGGGGAUGGGAGGGUCAAAAUCCCAGCAGGCAAGUGCUGAAUUGGCUGAAGCUCCAGCAAGAAGGAGACCCCUGGGCAUGCAGACCUGACUGUACCACCAGCUUGGUAAGCUGGAAGCACUGGGAAGAAGCCUAACCAGGUGGUGCUCAUAUAGAGCAGGAAGAGGAGGGUGAUUUGCUUAGAAAUAACCAGAGUGGCUGCCAGAAUUGAUGGUUUCUUCAACAGUGUGUCACUGCUUCAGCCGCAUGGGACUGGGAAGAGCUGGGGGUCUCUUUGGAGGAAAAAGGUGCCUGGAGUGAUGCUGUGUAGGUGCCUCGGUGUCAGUUUGUGGCCCAUCUUGUCUCAGCUUGCCCUCAUGAAGCCUACAGUAGCAAAUAGAUGCGUACAGGUGUUGCUGAUUGUUGCACAUCCAUGUAGUUGUUGCACAUCCACAGUCUUGUCCUAUGAACCCUAGUGCUGCCAGCCCCACAAAGGGCUUCCACAACUGGAGAUGGCAAUGUCAACAAUGAGAACAAUCCAGUGGCCAAGCUACACCAUUCCUCUGCAUUUGUAACCCUAAAUCUCUUUCUGCAAGAUCCAAAGCCAUGCCUGCAUUUGGCUUAUAAUAAAAUUAAUUGUGUUCUUU